UACGUAGGGUGCAAGCAUUGUCCGGAAUUAUUGGGCGUAAAGAGCUCGUAGGCGGCUUGUCGCGUCGGAUGUGAAAGCCCGGGGCUUAACUCCGGGUCUGCAUUCGAUACGGGCAGGCUAGAGUUCGGUAGGGGAGAUCGGAAUUCCUGGUGUAGCGGUGAAAUGCGCAGAGUAUCAGGAGGAACACCGGUGGCGAAGGCGGAUCUCUGGGCCAUUACUGACGCUGAGGAGCGAAAGCGUGGGGAGCGAACAGG
rnacentral:rRNA from 1 species